AGGAUGAACGCUGGCGGUACGUCUGACACAUGCAAGUCGAACGGUAAGCCACCUUCGGGUGGCCUAGAGUGGCGAACGGCUGAGUAACACGUAGGAACCUACCCCUCAGUUCGGGAUAACGGGCCGAAAGGCCCGCUAAUACCGGAUAAUAUCGAAAGAUUGAAAGGUCUACUGCUGAGGGAGGGGCCUGCGGGCUAUUAGCUUGAUGGUGGGGUAACGGCUCACCAUGGCGAUGAUGGCUAGCUGGUCUGAGAGGAUGAUCAGCCAGACUGGGACUGAGACACGGCCCAGACUCCUACGGGAGGCAGCAGUUCAGAAUCUUGCACAAUGGGCGAAAGCCUGAUGCAGCGAUACCGCGUGGUGAAGAAGGCCUUCGGGUACGUAAAGCCCUGUACAGAGGGAAAGAUAAGUGACGGUACCCUACGUAAGGAACGCCAACGGCUAAGUUACGUGCCAGCAGCCGC
rnacentral:rRNA from 1 species